ACGGAUUUCUAUUGAGCACUACUUCCUAUGUGCAACUUCAAAACUUUUGUGUGGUUUGACGAUCAUUUAAGGUUUUUCUUGUCAUAUGUUUGGUAUUUAAGAAUUAAAAGUAUGAAAAAAUUGCCCAAUAAGUUAUAAAUAACAUUAUUGCCAGCUAGAUCAUAACGACGGCACUUAUAUCAGCAUGUAUUGGGUAGAACACAAAUAUAGGGUGCUCGCAUGAGGCGGGCUUAACUGCCUAAGAAAAAAACACGACAAAAUGCCCAAAAAAUCCAGUAUAACAUACCCAAACUUUGGGCCAAAGAGAG
rnacentral:lncRNA from 1 species